rnacentral:rRNA from 1 species
AAACCAGCACCUCAAGUGGUCAGGAGGUUUAUUGGGCCUAAAGCAUCCGUAGCCUGAUCUAUAAGUUUCCGGUUAAAUCCACUAGCUCAACUAGUGGGCUGCCGAAAAUACUGUAGAACUAGGGAGUGGGAGAGGUAGACGGUAUUCGGUAGGAAGGGGUAAAAUCCUUUGAUCUAUUGAGGACCACCUGUGGCGAAGGCGGUCUACCAGAACACGUUCGACGGUGAGGGAUGAAAGCUGGGGGAGCAAACCGGAUUAGAUACCCGAGUAGUCC